rnacentral:rRNA from 1 species
GGGCGUAAAGGGUCCGUAGGCGGUGCGGCAAGUCGGAAGUGAAAUCUCAGGGCUUAACCCUGGGGCUGCUCCCGAAACUGCUGUGCUCGAGUGCGAGAGAGGCGAGUGGAAUUGCGGGUGUAGCGGUGAAAUGCGUAGAUAUCCGCAGGAACAUCCGAGGCGAAAGCGGCUCGCUGGAUCGCAACUGACGCUGAGGGACGAAAGCUAGGGGAGCAAACAGGAUUAGAUACCCUGGUAGUCCUAGCCCUAAACGAUCAGGACUUGGGGUGUGCCCUGUACGGGGCUCGUCCCGUAGCUAACGCGUUAAGUCCUGCGCCUGGGGAGUACGGUCGCAAGGCCGAAACUCAAAGGAAUUGACGGGGGCCCGCACAAGCGGUGGAACAUGUGGUUCAAUUCGACGCAACGCGAAGAACCUUACCUGGGCUUGAACCGCACCGGACCAUCCUGAGAAAUUGGGACUUCCCGCAAGGGACCGGUGUAGAGGUGCUGCAUGGCUGUCGUCAGCUCGUGCCGUGAGGUGUUGGGUUAAGUCCCGCAACGAGCGCAACCCUUACUCUUAGUUGCCACCCGCAAGGGGGAACUCUAAGAGGACUGCUCCGGAUAACGGAGAGGAAGGUGGGGAUGAGGUCAAGUCAGCAUGGCCUUUAUGUCCAGGGCUACACACGUGUUACGAUGCGCGCUACAAAGUGUCGCGAACCCGCGAGGGGGAGCUAAUCGCAAAAAGCGCGCUCAGUUCGGAUUGCAGUCUGCAACUCGACUGCAUGAAGCCGGAAUCGCUAGUAAUGGCGCAUCAGAACGGCGCCGUGAAUACGUUCCCGGCCUGGCACACACGCCG